UACGUAGGGGCAAGCGUUGUCCGGAUUAUUGGGCGUAAAGAGCGUGUAGGCGCUUGGCAAGUCUGACGUGAAAGCCCGCGGCUCAACCGCGGAUUGUCGUUGGAAACUGCCUCGCUAGAGUCCGGAAGAGGAGAGCGGAAUUCCUGGUGUAGCGGGUGGAAAUGCGCAGAUAGUCAGGAGGAACACCAGUGCGAAGGCGGCGACCUGGGCCA
rnacentral:rRNA from 1 species